UACGUAGGGGCCUAGCGUUGUCCGGAAUUAUUGGGCGUAAAGAGCUCGUAGGCGGUUCGGCAAGUCGGAUGUGAAAUCUCCACGCUUAACGUGGAGGGGCCAUUCGAAACUGCUGUGACUCGAGUCCGGUAGGGGAGUGUGGAAUUCCCGGUGUAGCGGUGAAAUGCGCAGAUAUCGGGAGGAACACCCGUAGCGAAGGCGGCAUCCUGGACCGAGAUUGACGCUGAUGCGCGAAAGCCAGGGGAGCAAACGGG
rnacentral:rRNA from 1 species